GUGCUUGCUUUGGCAAGAACGUAUACUAAAAUUGGAAUGAUACAGAGAAGACUUGCAUGGCCCCUGUGCAGCAGGGAUGACACACAAAUUCCUGAAGUGUUCCAUAUUUUU